rnacentral:lncRNA from 1 species
UUCCUUGUUCCUUCCUUGCUACAAUUCACGUUCUCAGAAGAUGAUCCUAUUCUUCAAAUUGCAAUUGAUAAUUCUAGAAAUAUUUUAUAUACACGAUCUGAGAAAGGAGUAAUACAGGUGUAUGAUUUGGGACAAGAUGGACAAGGAAUGAGCAGAGUUGCCUCUGUGUCACAGAAUGCCAUUGUCUCUGCUGCUGGUAACAUUGCUAGGACCAUCGAUCGUUCUGUUUUUAAACCAAUUGUCCAAAUAGCAGUGAUUGAAAAUUCUGAAUCACUGGACUGUCAGUUAUUGGCUGUCACACAUGCAGGUAUGUUGUUUUAUUUACAUAUCUGCUAUUACUGUUACAACUUCUGAAAAUUCUUAGAUUUGGAAAUUUAUUAUUAGAAAUAUAUUUUUCCUUCUAUAUCUGCCGUAAAGCCAUAUAAAUAGUUUGUAAAAUAAAGGAUUUUGAAAACUGGG